CACCCCCCCACCCCCAGGACACCUGCACAAAGCAAGGUGUCAUGGAAAUCUUUACCAUUCACUGCAGAGAAACCAAUUCAAACCAAGCGCAGAGCAGCCUUUCCAUCCUCGUAUUAAUACAAGAGAAGGAACCAGGACGCAGAGAAGCACUAAGGUGAGCUGACAACGUCUGCACCAGAGCUGACCCAGGUCUACGCUACGGGACCUCUGCUCUCCCCUCAGCAUCGUUUUCAGAGCAAGUGAUCGGCGCACCCAGGAGAGGAACAGCACUGGGAGAGGAUACCAGCGUGUUUUUUGCCUUCUUUCUGUUCUCAAAGCAAGCUCUGAUUCAAACAAAAAGUGCAUCUUCUCAGGCUGUGGGAGCCCUGCCGACCCAGGCGCAGACACAACGCGCUCACCUUGCGUCUGCUCUCCAACGGGUACGCGCGGUGGGCGCACAGAAGCGGGGUGCGCUGGGGGCACCGGAAACCAUGCGGAAAGGACACCGGGGACUCGCAUUGCAUGUCCCUCUCUCCCACGUGCACGUUCCGUGGUCCCACUGGACUUCCCUUACAAAGCACAAGUUCAAAGAAAAAAUUAUUAAGAAUUUUUGACUUGGUGUA